rnacentral:rRNA from 1 species
UACGAAGGGGGCUAGCGUUGCUCGGAAUUACUGGGCGUAAAGCGCACGUAGGCGGCUUUCUAAGUCGGGGGUGAAAUCCUGGAGCUCAACUCCAGAACUGCCUUCGAUACUGGAGAGCUCGAGUCCGGGAGAGGUGAGUGGAACUGCGAGUGUAGAGGUGAAAUUCGUAGAUAUUCGGCAAGAACACCAGUGGCGAAGGCGGACUCACUGGCCCGGUACUGACGCUGAGG